CUAAGUGGAUCUCUGUUCUGUGGUGUUGAUAGGUGGACAUGGACACUAAGUGGAUCUCUGUUCUGUGGUGUUUGUCUUUGAUAGGUGGACAUGGACACUAAGUGGAUCUCUGUUCUGUGGUGUUUGUCUUUGAUAGGUGGACAUGGACACU